rnacentral:rRNA from 1 species
UACGUAGGGUGCAAGCGUUGUCCGGAAUUAUUGGGCGUAAAGAGCUCGUAGGCGGUCUGUCGCGUCUGCUGUGAAAACUCGGGGCUUAACCCCGGGCCUGCAGUGGGUACGGGCAGACUAGAGUGCGGUAGGGGAGACUGGAAUUCCUGGUGUAGCGGUGAAAUGCGCAGAUAUCAGGAGGAACACCGGUGGCGAAGGCGGCCUGCUGGGCAGUUGCUGACACUGAGGCGCGACAGCGUGGGGAGCAAACAGG